CCUUGUCAAGGCUAAAUUACAGGUGAGACCCCUGUAUAUCUCU
rnacentral:tRNA from 1 species